UUCUUGACCUUGCAAGUCCGAAAC
rnacentral:siRNA from 1 species